rnacentral:snRNA from 1 species
AGUAUUUCUUAAUACUCACUUACAUGUGCUUAAAUGUAUCAGAGAAGAUUAGCAUGGCCCCUGUGCAAGGAUGACACACAAAUUCGUGAAGUGUUCUGUAUUUUU